CAAUCUUACAUUAAUGUAUGGAUGUCCUGUGCUUGAUGCUAUUCAAAGGUAUAACUUUCUGUGUGACAAUACGCAAGCUGCAGCUACAGGUGUUUACAUCUACUAUGCAGAUGAAAUUACUUUUGCGAUUCAGAAACCAGAUGUUAAAAGUCCUGAAUUGGCAGCACCAGUUACAGGAAGACCAGUUUCUCUUUAAAUACUAAGAAUUAGGUUGUAGCUUGUCACUGCUACAAUUACAGAAUUUAGUAGCAGCAACUCAAGAACAAAAGAAAGUGGAAUUGGAAUGGUCAGUAAAGCUGCACUACAAUUCAAGUAAAAUGAUACAUUCUUACAGAACAUAUUG